AGCUUCAACUUAUAGUCAACACCCCAAUAGUAGCAUACACUAUUCACUUCAGGCAGCUUGAAAUCUGAUAUCUUUCGCCGGAGCCCUCUGAAUAUCCGUUUGAGCUCAAAUUUGACAGUCAUGUUCGGUUUUGCUUAACUUAACGAAAGAAAUUUUAAUCUUUCAGUUUCGACUCCGUUUGGUCACCGAAAGCUUUACCGAACUGUAAUCUUUAUCAGAUAACUGUCAGAUUUUAUUUUCCACCUUCCGGGUGUCAGAAUGGGCUAAAACUUUAAAUCCAGCCUCAUAAUAAUAAUUCUAACAUAUCCUCCAGUUUUCAUAAUUUUCUGACACUAUGUAUUUUUUUCUAAUUUAUCUGCCUUGUUUCUCAUAGAAAAUUCUAAAUUUUCUGUUUUCACUUUGAUUUCAGCACAGGUCAUUCCCAACCUAUAUUUCACUUCUCUAAAUUUAUUAAAAAUAGUAUCUCAUACUAUUUUUAUUUAUUUUCACUUUUACAUUUAAAAUCCGGUAUGAUACAUUCCACCGCAACCUCACCGGAACCAUUUAAAUGUACACUGUAACUUCGUAGUUUUAGAAGUCCGGUA
rnacentral:lncRNA from 1 species